GGGGAAUCUUGCACAAUGGGGGAAACCCUGAUGCAGCGAUGCCGCGUGAGUGAAGAAGGCCUUUGGGUUGUAAAGCUCUUUCGUCGGGGAAGAAAAUGACUGUACCCGAAUAAGAAGGUCCGGCUAACUUCGUGCCAGCAGCCGCGGUAAUACGAAGGGACCUAGCGUAGUUCGGAAUUACUGGGCUUAAAGAGCUCGUAGGUGGUUAGAAAAGUUGGUGGUGAAAUCCCAAGGCUUAACCUUGGAACUGCCACCAAAACUUUUUGACUAGAGUAUGAUAGAGGUAAGCGGAAUUUCUAGUGUAGAGGUGAAAUUCGUAGAUAUUAGAAAGAACACCAAUUGCGAAGGCAGCUUUCUGGAUCAUUACUGACACUGAGGAGCGAAAGCAUGGGUAGCGAAG
rnacentral:rRNA from 1 species